rnacentral:rRNA from 1 species
AGUGAACGCUGGCGGUAGGCCUAACACAUGCAAGUCGAACGGCAGCACAGUAAGAGCUUGCUCUUACGGGUGGCGAGUGGCGGACGGGUGAGGAAUACAUCGGAAUCUACUUUUUCGUGGGGGAUAACGUAGGGAAACUUACGCUAAUACCGCAUACGACCUACGGGUGAAAGCAGGGGAUCUUCGGACCUUGCGCGAUUGAAUGAGCCGAUGUCGGAUUAGCUAGUUGGCGGGGUAAAGGCCCACCAAGGCGACGAUCCGUAGCUGGUCUGAGAGGAUGAUCAGCUACACUGGAACUGAGACACGGUCCAGACUCCUACGGGAGGCAGCAGUGGGGAAUAUUGGACAAAGGGCGCAAGCCUGAUCCAACCAUACCGCGUGGGUGAAGAAGGCCUUCGGGUUUUAAAGCCCUUUUGGUGGGAAAGAAAAGCAGCAGGUUAAUACCCCGCUGUUCUGACGGUACCCAAAGAAUAAGCACCGGCUAACUUCGUG